GGAGUUCAACCCUGGAGUGUAACAAUGCUAUAAGAAGGAAGAAAGACCCUUGGAACUACUGCCGGGUCUUUCAGUGGCAGCUAAAGCUGGUGUAACAUUGAGCUGUCACUGGAGGUGUGAAUUUACAGCUGCAGAGGCGCCUUUCCGUGGUUGUUGCAGUCCCAGAAGUAAUCCAGUGCUGAAGCGUUAAUGCAAAUGCAGCCUAAGAUGGAACCCAAUUAAAAUGCUGAAACACA